AAGAAGCUGAAGUGAAAGAACAAUCUGAGCAGGCUCUGAAAACACUAAACACAGAAAUGAGUAUAUUAAGACAUUGUUUCAGUACAAUGAGACUCAGAGGCAGCUUCACCAAAAACAGAAUGCUGGACUAUUGCAAGAAGGGAUUCUGGCCCAUCACCAUUGAAAACAAAAGGAGACAGAAAUGGUUUUAAAGAAAAGGAAUUCAGAGGUUGAUGACAUUAUGGAAUCUCUGGAAAAUGUAUGUUCAAGAUGUCGCUAUCUGGAUGCCAAGACUCAAGUUGAUCAAGAGGAAUUAUUCUCUAUGAAAGCAACACAAGAACAAUGUGAGAUGCUAGAGAAAGAGAACAUGAAGUUGGAAAAAGAAUUUUGGGACCUCAAAAACCGUAUGCAACAGAUGGUAGAUCUUGGUGAAACUAAAAUGUAUAAGGACGACAUUGAAGAAAGAGCAACACAGGAUGUUGUAGAAAAAAUAAGUCAAUCUAUUUUUGCAGUCACAAGCGGCAUCUGAAGAAUACAUAGAACAGAUAAAAGAGGAUCAUGUGGCUUCAAUAAGGAGUCAGACAGAAGUGACAAUUAAAAAUCUGGAAUCUGAAAUCUCCAACAUGAAAUUUUCUCAAGGAGAAGUGGAAAAGUAUAACCCCCUGUAUCAAGGAGAAUGAAAAGCUAGGAAAUAUUUGUUGAAGAAAGCAAAAAAUUUUCGCAGAACUCCUGAGCGACUAGCAGUGUCCAGUCGCAAUCUUGUUGAGGAGACACAGGGGACUGGAACUUGCUUUCCCACUCGAGCUAUGAAGACAGGCACAGAAGCACCUUCUGUUGGAACUGUUCAUAAUGGCUUAGGUCUUCACAGAGAGCUUUCUGCAAGAGAAAACUCAAUGUUCUUUUCCUCAUUCCCAUGAACUUCAGAUGCCAACUUGGAGACCUACUUGAUUGAGAUGACACACAAGUUGGAACAAAAUAUAAGUAUGGAACUACAAGAAGGUCUUGCUGAAUUAGAAUCUGGAUGCUCUUCUCUAGAAAAGCUUCUCCUCUAGGAUCCACUGAUGAGGCAGAUAUAAAUCAAGAUAUACUUUGGACAGCAUCAUCACAAUAUGUACCAUUUUUGAAAAAUUCUAUGAUCUGAAAGACUUUUAAGUGGAUCUUGCAAAUAAAAAGCAGUUUUACCUCCUUAGACUAUAGAAAUAUCAGCAAACAGAUCCCAUUUGGAUGCAUGGAUGCAUUUAGUUGUACUGUCUCUGAAAACCCUUUCAGUCUGGAACAGUUCCUCAGUCUUUCCUUGACCUUCAUGACUUGGAAUCCUUUGAAAGUAAAGUCCAGUAGUGCAGA